rnacentral:rRNA from 2 species
AGAGUUUGAUCAUGGCUCAGAUUGAACGCUGGCGGCAGGCCUAACACAUGCAAGUCGAGCGGUAGCACAGAGAGCUUGCUCUCGGGUGACGAGCGGCGGACGGGUGAGUAAUGUCUGGGAAACUGCCUGAUGGAGGGGGAUAACUACUGGAAACGGUAGCUAAUACCGCAUAACGUCGCAAGACCAAAGUGGGGGACCUUCGGGCCUCAUGCCAUCAGAUGUGCCCAGAUGGGAUUAGCUAGUAGGUGGGGUAAUGGCUCACCUAGGCGACGAUCCCUAGCUGGUCUGAGAGGAUGACCAGCCACACUGGAACUGAGACACGGUCCAGACUCCUACGGGAGGCAGCAGUGGGGAAUAUUGCACAAUGGGCGCAAGCCUGAUGCAGCCAUGCCGCGUGUAUGAAGAAGGCCUUCGGGUUGUAAAGUACUUUCAGCGAGGAGGAAGGCGUUAAGGUUAAUAACCUUGGUGAUUGACGUUACUCGCAGAAGAAGCACCGGCUAACUCCGUGCCAGCAGCCGCGGUAAUACGGAGGGUGCAAGCGUUAAUCGGAAUUACUGGGCGUAAAGCGCACGCAGGCGGUCUGUCAAGUCGGAUGUGAAAUCCCCGGGCUCAACCUGGGAACUGCAUUCGAAACUGGCAGGCUAGAGUCUUGUAGAGGGGGGUAGAAUUCCAGGUGUAGCGGUGAAAUGCGUAGAGAUCUGGAGGAAUACCGGUGGCGAAGGCGGCCCCCUGGACAAAGACUGACGCUCAGGUGCGAAAGCGUGGGGAGCAAACAGGAUUAGAUACCCUGGUAGUCCACGCCGUAAACGAUGUCGACUUGGAGGUUGUGCCCUUGAGGCGUGGCUUCCGGAGCUAACGCGUUAAGUCGACCGCCUGGGGAGUACGGCCGCAAGGUUAAAACUCAAAUGAAUUGACGGGGGCCCGCACAAGCGGUGGAGCAUGUGGUUUAAUUCGAUGCAACGCGAAGAACCUUACCUACUCUUGACAUCCAGAGAACUUAGCAGAGAUGCUUUGGUGCCUUCGGGAACUCUGAGACAGGUGCUGCAUGGCUGUCGUCAGCUCGUGUUGUGAAAUGUUGGGUUAAGUCCCGCAACGAGCGCAACCCUUAUCCUUUGUUGCCAGCGGUCCGGCCGGGAACUCAAAGGAGACUGCCAGUGAUAAACUGGAGGAAGGUGGGGAUGACGUCAAGUCAUCAUGGCCCUUACGAGUAGGGCUACACACGUGCUACAAUGGCAUAUACAAAGAGAAGCGACCUCGCGAGAGCAAGCGGACCUCAUAAAGUAUGUCGUAGUCCGGAUUGGAGUCUGCAACUCGACUCCAUGAAGUCGGAAUCGCUAGUAAUCGUAGAUCAGAAUGCUACGGUGAAUACGUUCCCGGGCCUUGUACACACCGCCCGUCACACCAUGGGAGUGGGUUGCAAAAGAAGUAGGUAGCUUAACCUUCGGGAGGGCGCUUACCACUUUGUGAUUCAUGACUGGGGUGAAGUCGUAACAAGGUAACCGUAGGGGAACCUGCGGUUGGAUCACCU